AUUGAACGCUGGCGGCAGGCCUAACACAUGCAAGUCGAGCGAGCGGCGGACGGGUGAGUAAUGUAUGGGGACUGCCCGAUAGAGGGGGAUAACUACUGGAAACGGUGGCUAAUACCGCAUACUGUCGGAUAACCCAUAUGGGAUUAGCUAGUAGGUAAGGUAAUGGCUUACCUAGGCGACGAUCCCUAGCUGGUCUGAGAGGAUGAUCAGCCACACUGGGACUGAGACACGGCCCAGACUCCUACGGAGGCAGCAGUGGGGGAUAUUGCACAAUGGGCGAAAGCCUGAUGCAGCGACGCCGCGUGGGGGAUGAAGGCUUUCGGGUUGUAAACCUCUUUCGCUAUCGAACGGGUAGGUGGAGAAGAAGCGCCGGCUAACUACGUGCCAGCAGCCGCGGUAAUAC
rnacentral:rRNA from 1 species